rnacentral:rRNA from 1 species
GACGAACGCUGGCGGCGUGCUUAACACAUGCAAGUCGAACGAAGAGCGACGGAAGCUUGCUUCUAUCAAUCUUAGUGGCGAACGGGUGAGUAACGCGUAAUCAACCUGCCCUUCAGAGGGGGGACAACAGUUGGAAACGACUGCUAAUACCGCAUACGAUCUAAUUCUCGGCAUCGAGGAUAGAUGAAAGGUGGCCUCUACAUGUAAGCUAUCACUGAAGGAGGGGAUUGCGUCUGAUUAGCUAGUUGGAGGGGUAACGGCCCACCAAGGCGAUGAUCAGUAGCCGGUCUGAGAGGAUGAACGGCCACAUUGGGACUGAGACACGGCCCAGACUCCUACGGGAGGCAGCAGUGGGGAAUCUUCCGCAAUGGACGAAAGUCUGACGGAGCAACGCCGCGUGAGUGAUGACCGGCUUCGGGUUGUAAAGCUCUGUUAAUCGGGACGAAAGGCCUUCUUGCAAAUAGUGAGAAGGAUAGAC